CCUCUAGUGGCGUAAGGGUAACGCGACCUAUCUGUUGAACAGGGAGUCGUGAGUUCGAUUCUCAUCGAGAAGA
rnacentral:tRNA from 1 species